rnacentral:tRNA from 1 species
GCGGGGGUUGCCGAGCUGGUUAAAAGCGCCGGACUUAAGAUCCGGUCCCGUAGGGGUUCGUGGGUUCGAAUCCCACCCCCCGCA